AGAGAAUCGGAGGGUGAAGAAGGAUGGAUGAUACGCUUUCUACUGCGAUGAUAGGCUUGUUCGGUCGAUCUUUGUGUUUCGACAAAGAUAUUUUCCCCAUUUUGGCAAUUUUGUAGCCUCUUCUUCUCCUUCCUCUCUCUCUCCACUGUGGGGUUCCUUGAACGAAUUUGGAAUUCUCUCAAGCUCCGUCUGCUUAUCCACAAGCCUCACCGUUUGGGUUCACGCUCGCUUUUGCUACGAGUUUCUCUUCAUGAUCUGCUAGUUUUUUCUCCGUUUCCGGAAUCUGGGUUUUGGUUCAUGCAUGCCUGCCGGAGAAUUGAGCUUUGAGGCCGGGUUUUGUACGAGUCCGUAGGAUUUCGAUGCUUUGUUGCUUUCCCCGAAACUAAUAAGGCAUGGAGGCUGCAAAUUAUCUGCUUUGAUGCUAUGAAAGCUUGUCUGAUAUGGAAGGAGUUGGGCAAGAAAAUAUUGCGAGUAGCGACGUUCAACUGAAAGGCCGAGAGGAUAAUGUUCCAUGUAAGCUGGAUAGUCACGUUGUUACAACAACGGAAUUGCAAACCGUGAACGAUCCUUUGCAGAGUGAUUGCCCGGGGAGUUCACUCCACAAGAGUAUAAUAGAUGCUUCUGAGUGCAAGGACUUGACCAGGUCUGUGGGUUCUCUCAAUGGAUCCGGGCCGCCACUUAGCAGCCAUUAUUUUGUCGAGGAUGCCACCACGAGAGUUUCUGUUGAAGAGUUGACAGUAGGGAAUUAUCAGAAUCCAGGUUUGGCUCUAGGGAGUAAUACGGGCAAUUCUAAGGCUGGAAAGUUUGAGCAUCUCUACCGUUUGGCCAACGGGUCUGGUUUCCGGACUCCAGACGGGGACCUUGAUUCUCAGCCUCAGGACAUGGAUCAAAUGUUAUCUAAAAUCAGGCAGCAGCUUGCUGGGGCUCCUUCUGAAAGACAGAAUCUGAAACCUUUUAUGAGCAAGCUGAGUGAUCAGUCUCUCAGUGCUGUUUCUGGACGUUUAAGAGCGGCUGGUGGUGACAAGAAUAUCAUGAAUGCUCCUGCAUUGACCAAUGGGAGUGCCCAACUUAAAACGAACCUAGGUUCUUCGAGUUUUUCUCAAUUAAUUCUUAAAAGGGCUAUGAAGGGGAAGAUGAUAGUUGGCAAAAACCAUGAAAGUCACCCUGAUUUUGGUGGGGAUCAAGACAUUGGAGGAUGCAAGGGAGAAAGAGUGGAUAUCAAGCCACCAAAUAUUCACAAUGCAUUAAAUGUGAAAUCAAGUGCCCAAAACAACCUGUCUAUAUUAUAUGAUGUAGAUGGGGAUUACCCUAAAUCCUCUCCCCGUGGAAUCAUUUUGAGGGAAUAUAUUAGCUCAGAUUGUCCUAAAAGAAACAAAGUUCAGAGCCUUCUUUUAUUUAGGCAGGUUGUUGAGCUGGUUGACACAGCCCACUCGCAAGGAUUCUUCUUGCAGAACUUAAGGCCAUCUUUUUUCACUGUUUCUCCAUCUGAUAAGCUGGGGUACAUGGGUUCUUUUGCCAAGAAAAAAUUGGACUCUGAUGCCAAUGAAGAUGUGAGUAGGAAGAGGCUCUUGGCUCUAGAAACAUCUAUUCCAGCAAGGGAUUUGAAGCAAAGAAAAAUGGAUGUCCAUGAGCAUUCUCCAGGUAGUCGCUUGCAGUUCGCAUCAGCUUGGCGACCUGAAAAAAGGACAAGCCCUUUGAUCGAUUUAAACACGAUUGAUACUCAGAAUAUAGACUGUAACGAUCUCCCAUAUCAAAAUCAUUCCAACCAUUCAGGCAUAUCUUCCUUGAUCAGAAAACAGUCUGUGCCCGCAGCUGUCUGUCUAGAAGAGCAGUGGUAUACUUGUCCUGAGGAGUUAAAUGGGGAUGAUAGCAGACUUAAAUCAAACAUAUAUGCUCUUGGUGUUCUUCUGUUUGAGUUGCUAUGCGAUUGCGAGUCAAGUGAGAUUCAUUCUGCCGUGAUGUCAGAUUUACGCCAUCGGAUUCUACCGCCAAGAUUUCUUUCAAAAAACCCGAAAGAAGCUGGAUUUUGUCUUUGGCUUCUACAUCCGGAACCGUCCUCUCGACCAACAGCUAGAGAAAUACUGCAUUCUGAGUUGAUAUGUGAAGAUGACUGUGCAAUACCCACUGCCGCUUAUGAUGAGGUGUCUGAGUUGUUGCUUCACUUUUUGACCUCACUGAAAGAGCAGAAGCAGAAAGAUGAAUCUAAGCUUUUGCAAGACAUCCAGACUUUAGAGGAAGACAUUAAAGAGGCAGAAAGAAGGUACUCUUCCAAGACAUCACUGCCCAAAUUUCAGGGGUCUAAUGAAAGAAGACUGCAGUCAUGUCCCACAAGUUCAAGUUGUACCUCUCAAUUGAGUACCUCUUUUGUGCCUAAUGAAAAUACAGAAAGGCUGAUGAGUAAUAUCCAUCAGCUUGAAGAUGCAUAUUUCUUUAUGAGGUCCCAAAUGAACUUGCCAGGUUCCGCUACUAGUUCCUGCUCUGACAAAAGCCUACUGAAGGACAGAGACAGGUGUUCUGAUAUCCAGUAUGAGAAUCAAGAUUUGAAAACGAAAGGGAAAACAUCAGAUCAACUUGAAGUGUUUUUCGAGGGUUUGUGCAAGUUCGCUCGGUAUAGUAAGUUUGAAACAUGUGGCACCAUAAGGAGUGGGGACCUUUUGAACUCUGCAAAUGUAAUCUGCUCUAUGAGUUUUGACCCUGAUGAGGAACACAUAGCAGCUGCUGGUAUAUCAAAGAGAAUCAAGAUUUUUGACGUCGGUGCAUUCAUGAGUGACCCUGUGACUGUCCAUUACCCGCUAGUAGAGAUGUGCAACAAAUCAAAAUUAAGCUGUGUUUCCUGGAAUAGUUACAUAAAAAACUACUUGGCCUCAACCGACUAUGAUGGUGUGGUUCAGAUUUGGGAUGCUGGGACUGGACAAGGGUUUUCUCAGUACACGGAGCAUCAGAGGAGAGCCUGGUCAGUUGAUUUUUCUCCAUCUGACCCGACAAAGUUUGUCAGCGGAAGUGAUGACUGUUCCGUGAAGCUUUGGAGCAUCAAUGAUAAACGGUCGGUUGGCACAAUCUGGAGCCCUGCAAAUGUUUGUUGCGUUCAAUUCUCUGCUUUCUCCAAUCACUUGCUGACGUUUGGAUCAGCAGAUUACAAGGUGUAUUGCUAUGAUCUCCGGCAUGUCAAAACACCUUGGUGCACAUUAGCUGGCCAUGAGAAAGCUGUUAGCUAUGUCAAAUUUAUGGAUUCAGAUACCGUCGUUUCUGCAUCCACGGAUAGCUCUGUCAAGCUAUGGAAUCUUAACAAGACAAACUCAUCCGGUUUAUCCUCUGGUGCCUGUUCACUGACAUUCAAAGGACACACGAAUCAGAAGAACUUUGUCGGAUUGUCUGUUUUGGAUGGAUACAUAGCCUGCGGUUCAGAGACCAAUGAGGUAUAUAGUUAUUAUAGGUCUUUACCAAUGCCAAUAACUUCGUACAAGUUUGGAUUGGUCGACCCUCUUUCUGGAAACGAGUUCUGUCAUGACAAUGGCCAGUUUGUGUCGAGUGUCUGUUGGAGAAGAAAGUCAAACAUGUUAGUAGCUGCCAACUCCACUGGAAGCAUGAAACUACUGAAACUGGUUUGACAAGAGCCCUUGUCUUUGCUGCUUCUCUGCUCAUAAAAAAAAAAUCAUGCUCCCUGGGUUUCGGAAGAUGGGAAAGGGCCAUCGAGAAUUGCGGACCUGUCCGUGUUUUCUGUUACGACGUUAUCACCUGUCACCUUGUCCUAACAGUGAGAGACAUUGACACCUGUCUCGGUCGAAGGCUUGGGGCAGCUGGUCUGAACCAGCAUCCGUACUUGGGCAGUGAUUUGCCAUUACCACACUGCAUCUCUGUGAACGAUCGAGAGAGUGAACUGGAGAUGAAGCAUUUCCUCGGCGUUGUUUUUUAUGAUUCCCUUCUAUUGGAUUAGUAUUCUUCCUGUGUCAUUCAGUGAGUUAGAUUCUCUGGAAGCUUAGGUGGAAGAGGCAACUCUCAUAUGAAGCACGGAUUUGUAUUUAAGGUAUAUAAAGUUUGCACGCUCCAUGCAUAUAAACAUUCAUCUGUGAUCCGAGGAUGUCUUUGUUGCAAAGUAACAUAUAUCCUUAUCUUUUUUUUUUUUUCUAAUUGAAAAUGGUUAGUAAGAAUAUAACAUUUGGUUAGUAUUUAUUUAACAUCAUCCAACAAAUAUACUAAUUAAAUUCAGUAGAAAACAGUUGACUCGAUCGAGUUUGACGGGGCUCUUCUUUUGGUUUUUGUUUCG